GACGAACGCUGGCGGCGUGCCUAACACAUGCAGGUCGAGCGAUGAAGCUCCUUCGGGAGUGGAUUAGCGGCGGACGGGUGAGUAACACGUGGGUAACCUGCCUCAUAGAGAGGGAUAGCCUUCCGAAAGGAAGAUUAAUACCUCAUAAGAUUGUAGUUUCGCAUGAAACGGCAAUAAAAGGAGCAAUCCGCUAUGAGAUGGACCCGCGUCGCAUUAGCUAGCUGGUAAGGUAAUGGCUUACCAAGGCGACGAUGCGUAGCCGACCUGAGAGGGUGAUCGGCCACAUUGGGACUGAGACACGGCCCAGACUCCUACGGGAGGCAGCAGUGGGGAAUAUUGCACAAUGGGGGAAACCCUGAUGCAGCAACGCCGCGUGAGUGAUGACGGUCUUCGGAUUGUAAAACUCUGUCUUUGGGGACGAUAAUGACGGUACCCAAGGAGGAAGCCACGGCUAACUACGUGCCAGCCGCCGCAGUAACAC
rnacentral:rRNA from 1 species